GACGAACGCUGGCGGCGUGCCUAACACAUGCAAGUCGAGCGGCGACGGUUGGUAUUUGUACCAACUGCAAGUGCCGCGCAGGUGUGUGUAACGUGUGGGGAAUCCCCCUUUGAGCGGGUGACCCUAUGUAGACACGAAUGAUAAUACCGCAUAAAAACUUUAAACAACAGUGUUACGUUUGAAAUAUGCCAUUGCAUCACGCGCAUAUGAUCUCGCGUUGUAUUAGCUAGUUGGUGGGGUAAAGGCUCACCAAGGCGUUGGUACAUAGCCGGCCUGGGAGGGUGGACGGCCACAUUGGGACUGAGACACGGCCCAAACGGCUUGGGGAGGGAGCAGGAGGGGAACUUCGGCAAGGGACGGAAGUCUGACCGAGCCACGCCGCGGGGGGGAAGAAGGGUGUCGGGUCGGAAAACUCUGUUGGUAGGGAAGAAAGGUGGUGGGAGUGGAAAGCUCAGCAAGUGACGGUAACGGCCCAGAAAGGGACGGCUAACUACGUG
rnacentral:rRNA from 1 species